rnacentral:scRNA from 1 species
GUUAAUCCUACAGCAAUUCUAUUACUCAACAUGCAAAAGAAAUCCUUUGUCAACUG